UUGAGAGAGGUCAGCGUGAGCCCCUUGCCUCACACCGGCCCCUCCCACGCUGAGAGAGGUCAGCCCGAGCCCCUUGCCUCACACCGGCCCCUCCCACGCUGAGAGAGGUGUGAGCCCCUUGUCUCACACCGGCCCCUCCCACGCGGACAGAGGUCAGCGUGAGCCCCUUGCCUCACACCGGCCCCUCCCACGCUGAGAGAGGUCAGUGUGAGCCCUUGCCUCACACCGGCCCCUCCCACGCGGACAGAGGUCAGCGUGAGCCCCUUGCCUCACACCGGCCCCUCCCACGCUGAGAGAGGUCGGUGUGAGCCCUUGCCUCACACCGGCCCCUCCCACGCGGACAGAGGUCAGCGUGAGCCCCUUGCCUCACCCCGGCCCCUCCCACGCUGAGAGAGGUCAGUGUGAGCCCUUGCCUCACACCGGCCCCUCCCACGCGGACAGAGGUCAGCGUGAGCCCCUUGCCUCACCCCGGCCCCUCCCACGCUGAGAGAGGUCAGUGUGAGCCCUUGCCUCACACCGGCCCCUCCCACGCGGACAGAGGUC
rnacentral:lncRNA from 1 species